rnacentral:rRNA from 1 species
UACGAAGGGGGCUAGCGUUGCUCGGAAUUACUGGGCGUAAAGGGCGCGUAGGCGGAUAGUUUAGUUGGGGGUGAAAGCCCGGGGCUCAACCUCGGAACUGCCUUCAAUACUGGCUAUCUUGAGUACGGGAGAGGUGUGUGGAACUCCGAGUGUAGAGGUGAAAUUCGUAGAUAUUCGGAAGAACACCAGUGGCGAAGGCGACACACUGGCCCGUUACUGACGCUGAGGCGCGAAAGCGUGGGGAUCAAACAGG